rnacentral:rRNA from 1 species
GACGAACGCUGGCGGCGUGCCUAAUACAUGCAAGUUGAACGCUAAAGCUUUAACUGGUGCUUGCACCGACCUAAGUUUUUAGAGUAGCGGACGGGUGAGUAACACGUGGGUAACCUGCCCAUCAGAGGGGGAUAACACUUGGAAACAGGUGCUAAUACCGCAUAAUUCCUUUUACCGCAUGGUAAAAGGCUGAAAGGCGCUUCUGGUGUCACUGAUGGAUGGACCCGCGGUGCAUUAGCUAGUCGGUGGGGUAACGGCCUACCGAGGCAAUGAUGCAUAGCCGACCUGAGAGGGUGAUCGGCCACAUUGGGACUGAGACACGGCCCAAACUCCUACGGGAGGCAGCAGUAGGGAAUCUUCGGCAAUGGACGAAAGUCUGAUGGAGCAACGCCGCGUGAGUGAAGAAGGUUUUCGGAUCGUAAAACUCUGUUGUUGGAGAAGAACACGUUUGAGAGUAACUGUUCAGACGUUGACGGUAUCCAACCAGAAAGCCACGGCUAACUACGUGCCAGCCGCCGCAGUAACAC